rnacentral:rRNA from 1 species
UCUCGGCAACGGAUAUCUCCGCUCUCCCAUCGAUGAAGAACGUAAAAAAUGCGAUACUUGGUGUGAAUUGCAUAAUCCCGUGAACCAUCAAGUCUUUGAACGCAAUUUGCCCCCGAAUCCUUCGGGCCGAGGGCACGCCUGCCUGGGCGUCACCCAUCGCGUCGCCCCCUCCCCCCCUC